rnacentral:rRNA from 1 species
AACGAACGCUGGCGGCAGGCUUAACACAUGCAAGUCGAACGCCCCGCAAGGGGAGUGGCAGACGGGUGAGUAACGCGUGGGAACAUACCCUUUUCUACGGAAUAGCUCUGGGAAACUGGAAUUAAUACCGUAUACGCCCUACGGGGGAAGGAUUUAUCGGGGAAGGAUUGGCCCGCGUUGGAUUAGCUAGUUGGUGGGGUAAAGGCCUCCCAAGGCGACGAUCCAUAGCUGGUCUGAGAGGAUGAUCAGCCACAUUGGGACUGAGACACGGCCCAAACUCCUACGGGAGGCAGCAGUGGGGAAUAUUGGACAAUGGGCGCAAGCCUGAUCCAGCCAUGCCGCGUGAGUGAUGAAGGCCUUAGGGUUGUAAAGCUCUUUCACCGAUGAAGAUAAUGACGGUAGUCGGAGAAGAAGCCCCGGCUAACUUCGUG